UAUAUAUAAGACAAAACCGCACGAUCAACAAAGAUGGCAGCUUAGGGGUCAAAGAUGGCGGCUUAGGGGUCAGCGAAGCAUGGUUACCGUUGACAGCCUCCAUAAUGCAAUUACACCGCCAUCGGACAACCUGACGGAUUACAGCUGAGGCCCACUUAACCCAACGAAGAACACCUGCCGGCGGCCUCUCACAAAAACAGCCAAGUUCACACUUCGCAUUGCCUGUUACGCUGACGACGGAACGUGUGCUGUUCCGAAAGCUCCGCACCCCCUUUCUGUGUGUGUGCCAAGAAACAAGCAUUUAUCAUCCUGUGCUUUACAACGGGAGCAAGCCGUUUCUAACACCUUCUACAUCAAUAAACCUUGAAUAGCCAAAUGCCUCGUCAUCUAAUUAGUGACGCGCAUGAAUGGAUGAACAAGAUUCCUGCUGUCUAGCGAAACCACAGCCAAGGGAACGGGCUUGGCAAAAUCAGCGGGGAAAGAAGACCCUGUUGAGCUUGACUCUAGUCUGACUCUGUGAAGAGACAUUGAAGGUGUAGCACAGGUGGGAGGCCGGUGGCCGCUUGCGGUGCCGCGCCGACAGUGAAAUACCACUACUUUGAUCGUUUCUUUACUUAUUCGGUCAAGCGGAAGGAACGGUCGCUCGCGUGGCCGUCUCACGGCGCGCGACGACUGCCACUUUUGGUGCGAAGCCCACGGGACGCGUGCCCCGCUGUCGGCGGCACGUCGAGCAAGCGUAGCAACGCCAGGUGCCGUCCAGGGUGAUCCGCUCCGAAGACAGUGUCAGACGGGGAGUUUGACUGGGGCGGUACAUCUGUUAAACGGUAAGGCAGGUGUCCCAAGGUGAGCUCAGCGAGAACAGAAACCUCCCCUGGAGUAAACGGGCAAAAGCUCACUCGAUUUUGAUUUCCAGUACGAAUAGAGACCGCGAAAGCGUGGCCUAUCGAUCCUAUUGAUUUUGCGAAUUUCAUGUAAGAAGUGUCAGAAAAGUUAUCACAGCGGUAACUGGCUUGCGGCAGACAAGCGCCAAUAGCGACGUUGCUUUUUGAUCCUUCGAUGUCGGCUCUUCCUAUCACUGCGAAGCAGAAUUCGCCAAGCGUUGGAUUGUUCACCCACCAAUAGGGAACGUGAGCUGGGUUUAGACCGUCGUGAGACAGGUUAGUUUUACCCUACUGAUCACUGAUCGUUGCUAUAGUAAUCCUGCUCAGUACGAGAGGAACCGCAGGAUCAGACAUUUGGUUCAUGCGCUUGGCUGAAAGGCCAGUGGCGCGAAGCUACCUCUGAAAGAUAAUGACUGAACGCCUCUAAGUCAGAAUCUUGCCUAUCGACUGUCCACGAUACGUUGCGUCCGAGUAGCUGCAAGGUCGACGGUAGACCGGCGGUCGCCUUGCGCGGUCGACCGGUCUCCACUUGAAGCCGUGCUGCCACUUGUUGACGGCAGCGGCGGUAGCAUGAACGACAUGCUGCGACGGCGGCGAAACCACUAAUCACCCAACGGGUGAAACAGCAGUCGGACAGCGGAGUUCCCCGUAGACGACGGACACACCGGUUGAGGUGUUGUGACCACUAGAACAGUCGCAACACUGCGAUUUGUUGAGACUUUGCCUUUCAUUGGACUGCUC
rfam:Trichuris suis scaffold68.3, whole genome shotgun sequence.